ensembl:lncRNA
ACUAUCCAGGCCAUAAUUUGACCCCUAAAUCAGAAGAAUUUUUUUUAUUAUUAAUAUACAUAUAAAUAUAAUAAAAAUACAUUUAUUUUAGUUGUUAACGUACACUGUAAAAAGUCAUUCUGUGGGUUUGUAGAUUUCAUUUAAUUUAAUGUGUAAACUAUUUAACAAAAUUAAUUUCUUGCUUUUUUAAACAUUUUUUGAAUUAAAACUAAUUAAAAAUGUCUAGAAUAAAACCUACUCAAUUUUGUUGUUAAGGAUUUAGCUAUUAUUUUUGAAUAAUUUCAAAUAGAGAGAUUAUUGAAUGAAUCCAACAUGAUGGAAAUAAGUUGGUUUCAAUUUACAAGCAUUUCCUGUAACAAUGCGCGGUUUGAAUCAGCUCGUGAGCGCGAGGCACGCAUGCGCUGGAGUUUCCCGCUGACAACCUGGAGGCAAGGCUGAUCGCUGCUCUUGUUCAGUUAUUUUCUCAAAGAAUUGCAAAAGAGAAUUUAGAAGAACAAUGAAAAGAUGAUAAAGGAGAUGAACAAAACUUCGACGACACAAAAUCAUUAAUCAAUGUCCACUUGUGCAAGACAUAAAGGAACGAUGGACAGCCCUAUUUCAUUCUUCUCAAGUGAAUGCAGAAUUUUAAAGAAUAACCACUGUGCAGCUGAAACCUGAACUGGUCCUCACUGGAUCUUCACUCUCCCAAGCUCUUGACAACGGUUUCAUGCCAAAGGAGGAGCACUUGAAAAAAGACUGAAGACUGAGAUGGAGCUACUGAAGGAUGAGCAGUCUUCUGUUGAUAUGACAAGAGAGGUGGUCAUCAGCUGCAUUAUAGAAUUCCUUAAGGAACAUGCAGGAGAGCUCAUCAAAGAAAUGAAAGACAAUGAAGACCAGACAGGAAUUGGACAGCUUGUGAUGGCAGCAAUUGGGACCAAGACGGGAGCUAUCAUUGACAGUCGAAAGGACAUUGGAACUGUUAUCGAGGGGGAAAAAAGUUGUUACAGGCCUUGAAGGUGUUCCCAGGGCUUGCUAUAUCCUCCUUGGUUUGACGUAUGCACUGAAUCUCCAUUAUCCCAGGAAUGUAAAGUAUAGUUUGAGGUAUUUCAGAAACGUAUCAUGGAGCUGGAUGCUUCAAAGCUGUCAAACAGAGUCUAGUCACUCAGGUCUAAACUGCUGACUUAAAAUAAGAUGGUUUUAUCUGUUCUGUGGUUCCAUGUUGCCAAACAAAGACCUCACAUAUUUGAACAUUUUGUGUCUAGAAAGAGAAAAAUGCCCCCAAAAAGGUAAUUGCAUUGUGUAUUUUAAAAUAUUUGUUCCUAAAAAGAAACACAAAAAGUGACUUUAUUCUGCAGACUUGAAUUUAUAUGCCUUAGAAAGUAAUUGUGGAUAAAAAAACAGUUGAUUCUGUUGAGAGACUAGUAAAUGUUCCCUCUGUCUGAGAAUACUAAUAGAUGCUACUGUAACUGUUGUUGGCAAUAAAGCAGAAGUUUGUAAUUCA